GGCUCCACUUAGCCCCGGACGCCGCGAAGGGUCUUUGGCGUCCUGGUGCCACCAAUACGGAAGGCCUGAUCUUUCCGGUCCGAAGUAAUUGCUGGCUGGCUUCGGUCUCCACAGAGGAAGGCGGGAAUCAGCGGGCUGGGACCUACGCCUCCCACUGUCAACCACGAUGCUGCACAUCUGGCCUCUGCCACUCAAACGCCGGUACCCAGCAUCCUACUUGAUUCUAUGAGAAAACAGCUUCAGAUUCUGCACAAGAAAGGAAGCCUGAGGAAGAAUGGCCAGCUCUAAUUGUCAG